rnacentral:rRNA from 1 species
UACGUAGGGGGCGAGCGUUGUCCGGAAUCAUUGGGCGUAAAGAGCGUGUAGGCGGCUUGGCAAGUCUGACGUGAAAGCCCGCGGCUCAACCGCGGAUUGUCGUUGGAAACUGCCUCGCUAGAGUCCGGAAGAGGAGAGCGGAAUUCCUGGUGGUAGCGGUGGAAUGCGCAGAUAUCAGGAAGAACACCCGUGGCGAAGGCGGCUCUCGUGGGACGGUACUGACGCUGAACGCGAAAGCGUGGGGAGCGAACAGG